AUGUAAAGUGAAAUAAAACUAGGAAUUGAGCAAGAAAGUAACGGAUAAAGAAGGUUGGAACCAGAAUGUGGAGAGCGAGAAUGUGGUUAAGAACUUUAUGCCUAGUUUGUGUGGCCCCACUGUCUGGACUCAGGAAACUUGGCUGAGUGACCCUGGAAAUGUGCCCAAGCCAGUCUCUCAAGCAUGAUCAACAUCUCGACAUUCAGGGUUCAGCUCAGAUAUCACCUGUUCACCAGUGAAUUCAUCUGUUCAAAUCCUUUCUCCCUAUUUUAUUUUCUUCCUAGUGCUCAUCAUGUUUGUAUAAGUAAGCAAGACCCUUACUUGUCAACUUCUUACCUGCCUUCCCUAUGAGACUCUAAGCUCUGUGAAAGCAUGAACUGUGUCUGUUUGCCACCACAUCUCCAGGCACAGUGCCGACACCCAGGGGAUGCUCAAUAAAUGAAUGAAUGAAGACUGAAGAGUUACAAAGCCAACUUCACACACGCACACAAGCGAAGCCAUGGAGCACUGCACAGUCUGCCUGCUAGGUCUUGGGUCUUCUAGACUGUCUAUGUCUCAUCUGCUCUCCAUCUGCGGUAUUUUUCAGUGUCUCCUCUGGAAGUAGGAAGAAGGAAGACAAGGAGAAGAGGAGCAACGUUGCCAGUGGCCUUGAAAGUUUUUAAUGCUUAGAGCCAUUCUUGUUUCCCAUAUCCAUUAAAAAGUGGCUAAUAAGGUUUUAUUUGCUUUAAAAGGACUACCAAGCUCUAAUCAUAGGGUUUCUUUCUUUUCCAGAAGGUGGAUGUUAGUGCUGUUAAUCAAAAGCCUUUGAAUCAAGGACAUAUGAUUUCUAACAGAUUAUUCCUCACACAACAGGUUUUUGUCUCAUAGCAACUAAUCAUAUCAUUAAAAUCACUAAGGCAUGUGGGCUAAGUGUUUGAUUAGCUGUAACUCUCAUUUCUGAAAUGGCCACCUGUGAUAAAAACUUACACUGCUUUGUGUGAGCAGAUGAAAAUGAUCCACCUCACCUAUUUUUGAAAUUAGGGUACUGACAAUAGAGUUCUCUAUGCUGUCCUUUGAUUGUUAAAGCAAAGAAAUAUUGAAUAUCAGAGGGUCAAUCAAAAAUAAGAUUUCCUUUUUUUUAAAAUAAAUUUAUUUUAUUUAUUUACUUUCGGCUGCAUUGGAUCUUCGUUGCUGUGUGUGGGCUUUCUCUAGUUGCUGCGAGUGGGACUACUCUUCGAUGCGGUGCGUGGGCUUCUCAUUGCGGUGGCUUCUCUUGUUGUGGAGCAUGGGCUCUAGGCUUGCGGGCUUCUGUAGUUGUGGCACGAGGGCUCAGUAGUUGUGGUGCACGGGCUUAGUUGCUCCACGGGAUGUGGGAUCUUCCUGGACCAGGGCUUGAACCCGUGGUUCUUAACCACUGUGCCACCGGGGAAACCCAAGGUUUCCUUUUUGUAAGUGGAACUUGACUGGUUUUGUCUGGAAUUUGGCUGGUUGUGUGGAAAAGUUGUGAAAUAAAAUCUGUAGUUG